rnacentral:lncRNA from 1 species
ACAUGUUGAAGUCACAAUUGUGGACAAACAUGAUCAAUUUGAAGAUACCUUCACAAUACCUGUAGAAAAGGAACCUUUAUACAAGACAGGGAGAGCACUUUGCACUUUCGAUGAAAUUGAUGUAUAAAAGAUAACAAAGUCUUCAUCAGACAUGUCAAGAUGAUAUUUGAUUAUGAUUUUUCAAAAGUUUUUCAAGGUACAUGAUAUUCAUCUUGUAUUAUUAUACUUAAUCAAUUCAUAAUUCCAUUUGUGAAUUAAUUAUGAUUGUUCAUGUAUGUUCAUAAUCAUGUGUUGUUUGUUUGAUCUGAAACAUUUGUGUUGUAUUAUAAGUUUAUGUUUGAUUAUUAUGUUCACUUAUGUAUAAAAUACGUUACUCUUGCCAAAAAUCUUAUAAAAAUUCAGACAAAUUUUAGUCCAACCAUGUAUACUCUCUCCCCUUUUAAAAUAAAAAGAGCCCCACAUCCCUUGUGAAACCCUCGUAGCCUUCAAUCUCAAUCCCUUAAGGAAAGGAAAGUAAUGCUCCCAACACUCUCCCUUUCCCAUCUUCUCCAAAUUUUCUCCAAACUCUAUUAGAAGCUUCAAACUUUCUUCAUCUUUAACAAUGGCAUCUCAAAGAAAGGGAAAAGGAAAGGCUUCUUUAUCAAGCUCUAAACUUCCAACUAUGGGUUUCUCAAGGCUCCUCAGUCCUCACCACCACUCAACAAAGAGAAAGAUUCAUUGCAUUCUUCCAUGAAAAUAAGCUUAUAUCUCUAACAUAUGUUAACCUUCACACUUUUUAUUCAAGAUGCUUUAUUUUUCCUGCAUUGUUGAGAAAUCGGAAAAUAGAAGGAUUGAUUAUGGAUGUUGUUUCAUUCUAUCCCGAUUAGUGAAAGUCUUUUAUACGACUAUUACAAAUGUUGAAAUGAAAUUGUUGUUGGUUGUCAAGAAUCAAAUUCUAGAUGUUAUUUCACAAUGAAAAAUAUGUUGGUUUACGUUAUGCAAGGAUUUUAACAAAUAUUUUCAAGUACUGCAAUGUGGAUACUACCAUUGAACUUCACUCCAAAGUGUCGUACACAGAUUUGUAGACUACAAGAGAUAUUAUCAAUAAUAAAAUGGGAGUUAUUUAUAACAAGCUUGAAGGAACCUUCUAUUACUUAGAUGAAGAGUUGGCUGAACCUUGUGCUCCUCCUCGCUCCUCAACCAAUGGAAGAUGUUGGAUCAACCAAUCAAAUGAUUAUGGACUACAUGGUUUAACAAUUUGAGAAUAUCGGUCAAUAAUUCGGUAGCAUCCAUCAUGAGUUGGCUGAAUUUCGGGUAGGAUGGAUCGUUUGGAAGUUUUUCAGAGAUGAGAUGAGAAUAAUAAUGAUAUGAAUGCAGAAUGAUCUUUGAACAAGAUUUUUUGAUUUUUAAUUUAUUUCAGUUUUCUUGUUAAGACAUGAUUUUGGCUAUGUAUCAGUUUAGACUUAUUUUGUUUUUUCUAUGUUAUGCAUGUUUGGAUGUUUGUG